GCCACCUCCUCUCCAUCCAUGCGGUACCUGAGUGUGUGACUCUGCUUCUUGGGUCUCUCUGUGCUAAGGAUGUUCAGAGAAAAGGAGUGAAGAGCUGAUGAAAAUGUUCUCACUGGGCGUGCUGGCGUUGCUGCUUCUGGGCACUUGUGAGGCUUCGGCUGUACAAUUGCUCCAGGAAAACUCCUCAGUGAUGGCUAAUGCCGGGGGUGCCGUUUCCUUUCACUGUGCUAUAGAGGCAAAGUUUAGCAUGAGCAGCUACACUAUGCAGUGGUACAAGCAAGCUUAUUACGGUGCACCAUUUGAGUUCCUGAUGAUGGAGUAUGAACAGGCCACAAAGAAAAUGAACGUUAUCCUAGAGAAAGCUGAGAACAAGUUCAGCUUGAAAAUUUCAGACUUGACGUUGCAGGACAGUGCCAUUUAUUACUGUGCUGCAAGACACAGUGAAGCAAAGGUUGAGUUUAGUCUUACAAGAAACCUCACCUGA